CUCUGUGCCUCUAAAUAAAACCAUAGCCCAAAAAAAUCCCCAAAUACACCUGUACCCACUCGCACCUGAGUCAAAUCUCAUCUCACCGGCGGCGCCCCCAAAUCACUCGCCGCCAGCCGCGCACCCGAAUUCCCUCCCUGCCUCUGCCCUCUAGUCCGCCGCCACCCUCUCUGUCUGCUUCCCGUCCCCAGCCACCACUACACCGACGCCGAUCUGCCCGUUUGCUGCCUGGUCCGACCUCCAUGCUACCUCCACCGCCAAUUCAUGGAUGGCUUGUCGACCAUCGCCCAGUCCAUCUCUGGCGCCUUCCCCAGCUUUGUUUCUCACCGCGUGCCUCACCAAGAUCUGGACGCUGCAUCACCACCCCUCCAUCACUCACUACUUGAGAUGUAGAUGGUGAUUUACAAGAUUGGUUUCGUCCAGUGACUAACAAGACGGCGACGGCGGGAGAUACCAGGUUUGGGAGAGGCAACCCGAUGAUGCAGAUAGGCUAGGAGAUGGGUCGGAAAAUCUGCAAGGAACCCGGCUACAGCACCGUUAGAUCUGCUCCCCUUCAACUACUCGAGGUUCAUCUAGAUCAGGAGUAAGAUCAAUGUCCUUUGCUCUUAUCAAAGGCGCAUUAAUCGACUGCUCACCGUAGGUAGCAGGACUGGGUUUGCAAUAUCAAGAUAAUCUUAUCGAUCUUGCUAUGUUGAUUGAGGAAGCAUCGUACAACUGCAGUGCAAGUACACAAUUAGCUGUAGCUGCUGGGGAAGUUUAUAGGCAUUGGGGGGAGUUAGCCGUGAGACUUGAAGCACAAGACAGAGCAUUUGAAGAGAUGCAAAGGAAGCAUCAAGAAGAAUUGGAAGCUGUGAAGAAGAGCCAAACUUGAGUCGGUGUUAUUUUGAUUGUCAUUUCUAAUUGGAGGAUGUUUUGGCUUAGAGAUAGAAUAUAUAAUAGGAUUUUUCUUUCGUUUCAUAAUGUGAUUUGGCUCACAAUUUAUGUAUAUAAUGUGAUGCGAUGUGAAUAAAAUACUUACUGUGAUGUGCAUUUGUAAUAUAGUGGAUCUGAUAAUUCAUUGCAAAUUAUUCAAAAUAUAGUAAAUGUAUUUUGAUGAUGGCA